rnacentral:lncRNA from 1 species
AGUUUCACCAAGUCCCGGGCGCACAGGGAAAAGGGCGUCUCCUGGGGGACGUGAGAGCCGCGGCCUCCACGGAUCCCCUGACCUGAGGAGGAAGCAAGGAGGAGGAGGAGACCAGAAAAUUUGAAGGUUCGGUCUGAUCGACCUAUCAGGCCAAGGACCAGGCUGGAAACCCUACGCUCAGCUGAUGGAGCCCAGCAACCUGGCAGCUGUAGAGCACUUGCCUCCCAACACCUCU